AGGACGAACGCUGGCGGCGUGCUUAACACAUGCAAGUCGAGCGGAAAGGCCCUUCGGGGUACUCGAGCGGCGAACGGGUGAGUAACACGUGAGCAACCUGCCCUUAGCUCUGGGAUAGCUCCGGGAAACCGGAAUUAAUACCGGAUACGACCUAGGCCGACAUCGGCCGUGGUGGAAAGUUUUUCGGCUAGGGAUGGACUCGCGGCCUAUCAGCUAGUUGGUGGGGUAAAGCCUACCAAGGCGACGACGGGUAG
rnacentral:rRNA from 1 species